rnacentral:rRNA from 1 species
GAUGAACGCUGGCGGCGUGCCUAAUACAUGCAAGUCGAGCGAACAGACGAGGAGCUUGCUCCUCUGACGUUAGCGGCGGACGGGUGAGUAACACGUGGAUACCCUACCUAUAAGACUGGGAUAACUUCGGGAAACCGGAGCUAAUACCGGAUAAUAUAUUGAACCGCAUGGUUCAAUAGUGAAAGACGGUUUUGCUGUCUCUUAUAGAUGGAUCCGCGCCGCAUUAGCUAGUUGGUACGGUAACGGCUUACCAAGGCAACGAUGCGUAGCCGACCGGAGAGGGUGAUCGGCGACACGGGAAGGGGACCACGGUCCAGACUCCUAAGGGAGGCAGCAGUAGGGAAUCUGCCGCAAUGGGCGAAAGCCUGACGGAGCAACGCGGCGUGAGUGAUGAAGGUCUUCGGAUCGUAAAGCUCUGUUAUUAGGGAAGAACAAAUGUGUAAGUAACUGUGCACGUCUUGACGGUACCUAAUCAGAAAGCCCCGGCUAACUACGUG